GUGAUUACUUUGUCUGAAAGACUAGCAGGGCAAGAUGCAAAUGUAACCACUGUCCCUGUUUCAGUCUUGAAAUUCACUCGCCAGCUAACUCGGUUUUUCCAAUGGACGAAUGAUAUAGCUGAUCGUUUAGCAUUUUCAGAGACGAACCUACUUCUUGGGAAUAAGCCGAUCUUAUAUUUCCUUACAAGGUGAUGGAAUUUCCUUCUUUCUGUGCUAACGAAGAGGGCUUGGUUGCGACCAUUUCUUUUCAGUUGAUAUAUGUGUGGGUUAUCAUUGAGCUUGAUGCCUUGAAUCUCUCAAUUGGUGGGAUUUCAGGUCCUCUCAAGCGACACCGUUUUCUCUCCCAUGACAGAAACAUAUAAUUUGCUUGGGGUGGAUCAGAAAGACAUUGUGACCUUAGAAAAGUAUUUGCAGGACUACUUCACCAAUAUUUUGAAGAAACUGAAAGAUCUAAAAGCACAAUCAAAGCAAACAGAUAUUUAUCUAUGAGAAAUUCAAGUUCACACUACAACAAUGGGGUCAAAAGAGAGAACGGGUCAAAGCUACAUGUACUGCACUUCCAAGCCAUUCAAAAAGGACAUGAUGGUGCAAGUGAUUUGUUCUUUCUUUCUGCAUUUUGUAUGCAAAUUAAAAUUCUAAACAAAAAAUUAAGGUCUUCUGACAUAAAGCCUAACUUGUUUAUAAAUAUCAACUGUGUGUUUC